CGACGGUGGAGAAAUGUGUGCCAUGUGACUCAAAAGAUCCUCAACCAAUGUCUGAAGAAAUAGCUAAUAAACUAAUUGCACAGGAUGGAAUUUGUCUCGUGAAGAUGCUACGUUGAGGCUACACCGAUGAUGGGAAGUGAAGAAUUGGCUGAAGGGAUUGGAGACUUUUCAACUUUUAACUGAUAUUGCAGAGGCAGAAGGUUUCAUUAACAUCCUGAAAUCUCUCGUAUGGUCUAACCAUCAUCCAUUCUUCUAUGACCUAUGCCUUCUUUUAGGGGAUGGAAGUCUCAAUGCUAUGAUGUAGUGGGAAUGCUGCUCCUGAUUUCCUCUGCUUUAAACUAGUCCAGGCACUCGAGAUAAGUUCGAACUAUACUAGGUAUGCAGCACCAAGGUCAGUGCAAACUUAUAUGUAACAUGCGUGUAGCACCAAGACAUUCUAUGGUGAUUAAUUUGAUUUUCUGAGGAAUAAUAAAUCAAAUCUAUCCUAGGAAUUGCUUGCUUAUAGAGUAUAUUGAAGUAUGAAUUUCUUCCUGACAUAGCUGCCUUGCAUAUCUUGCAUUCAUUAGUAUUGUCCUCGCAUUCUUUGGUGCAGGAUGAUUGAUCAGAAAAUGAUGUCAUACUUGCUACCAAGAUCAAUGGUCUUAAUAUAGGACAUCUCUUGAGAAGAAAAAGCUAUUACCUAGUUCAGGAAGCGGUGUAAAAUUUUUAAAACUUGUUACGACUGCUUGUAUGUGUUGGCAUUGGUUUUGGAAACAACUUCUUACAUUGCAAAACGAAUGUGAACCGAUCAAUAGUUCCUGGAUGUAAGAUCAUAUGAUUUACUAGUGAUGUCAAACAUUACGUUCAUCUUUGGUUUAACAAAGUGAAUAUAUGGGUAAAAUUUCCCAAGUGUCACCUAGUGUAUUUGAAAAACAGAAUUAUGACGCUAGUUGAGAAGCAAUUUUGAUGAAUGGGUAUUUGCUUGUAUGAUGUUGAAAUUUCAUAAUUUGGUUGAUUCCGCUAUUCUCUGACUAGAUAGGUGUAGGCUAGGGUCAUGUAAUACCCGCCCCAUUUGGGCCUUGGACCAAGCCCAAAGGCCA